UAUUUCAGUCAUCCUUCGCCAAGAUAUUGCUGUCUGCUUGUCCCGAAAAGGUUUUCCUCAAUUAAAUAUUCUGUAGCCUCAGAAAACAUUAUUGUAACUAAUUGAGAGAUUGAUGGAGAGGGAGCAAAUUUUUCAGAGAGCAUGCAGGAAAAGUCAUGGAUGCCAUUAGUUCUUAGGUUUCCAGACAACUUCAAUACAGAUUAAUGGUUAGGGAAGAAACUCCAUGCUAAGGAAAGUUUAGUAAGACCUGGAAAGAAAUGGAAGCUGUGUUGAUGCCAAUGUCCGGCACAACACUCCAUGACCUGCUUAAUUGUCACAGGCUGAUCUGUGGUAGCACGAGUUGGCCUUCAUUCGCAGGCAUUACAUGCUUGUCAUGCCGUGCUGCACCUUGUUAUAACAUGAUACGAUUUAAAAAAAAAAAAAAAAAUCAAGAAAAAUAUUUUCAUUUUUAUUUUUGCAUUUAAAAGUUAUUUUAUAUUCUUGUUAAAAAAUUCUGUAUUUUUUUUUUUUAGAUUUGGAAAUUGUUACUUCAUAUUUAUUUUUCCAAUGAAUUAUAUUUACACCUUUUAUCACUUUAAUCAAGCUAUAUAUAUUUUUAUAUUCUAUAUUUCUUACUUGC
rnacentral:lncRNA from 1 species